UACGUAGGGUGCAAGCGUUAAUCGGAAUUACUGGGCGUAAGGCGUGCGCAGGCGGUUUUGUAAGUUUGUCGUGAAAGCCCCGGGCUCAACCUGGGAAUUGCGAUGAAGACUGCAAGGCUUGAAUCUGGCAGAGGGGGGUAGAAUUCCACGUGUAGCAGUGAAAUGCGUAGAGAUGUGGAGGAACACCGAUGGCGAAGGCAGCCCCCUGGGUCAAGAUUGACGCUCAUGCACGAAAGCGUGGGGAGCAAACAGG
rnacentral:rRNA from 1 species